UACGUAUGGUGCAAGCGUUAUCCGGAUUUACUGGGUGUAAAGGGAGCGUAGGCGGCUAUGCAAGUCAGAUGUGAAAGCCCGGGGCUCAACUCCGGGACUGCAUUUGAAACUGCGUAGCUUGAGUGCAGGAGAGGCAGGCGGAAUUCCUAGUGUAGCGGUGAAAUGCGUAGAUAUUAGGAAGAACACCGGUGGCGAAGGCGGCCUGCUGGACUGAGACUGACGCUGAGGCUCGAAAGCGUGGGGAGCAAAC
rnacentral:rRNA from 1 species